rnacentral:rRNA from 1 species
AACGAACGCUGGCGGCAUGCCUUACACAUGCAAGUCGAACGGCAGCACGGGAGCAAUCCUGGUGGCGAGUGGCGAACGGGUGAGUAACGCAUCGGAACGUGCCCAGUCGUGGGGGAUAGCCCGGCGAAAGCCGGAUUAAUACCGCAUACGACCCAUGGGUGAAAGCGGGGGACCUUCGGGCCUCGCGCGAUUGGAGCGGCCGAUGUCAGAUUAGGUAGUUGGUGGGGUAAAGGCCUACCAAGCCGACGAUCUGUAGCUGGUCUGAGAGGACGACCAGCCAGACUGGGACUGAGACACGGCCCAGACUCCUACGGGAGGCAGCAGUGGGGAAUUUUGGACAAUGGGCGCAAGCCUGAUCCAGCCAUGCCGCGUGCGGGAAGAAGGCCUUCGGGUUGUAAACCGCUUUUGUCGGGGAAGAAAUACGCCGGGCUAACAUCCUGGCGGGAUGACGGUACCCGAAGAAUAAGCACCGGCUAACUACGUGCCAGCCGCCGCGGUAACAC